GACGAAGGGGGCUAGCGUUGUUCGGAAUUACUGGGCGUAAAGCGCGUGUAGGUGGUUGUCCAAGUUGGAUGUGAAAGCCUUGAGCUCAACUCAAGAAAUGCAUUCAGGACUGGGCGACUAGAGGACCGGAGAGGAUAGUGGAAUUCCCAGUGUAGUGGUGAAAUACGUAGAGAUUGGGAAGAACACCAGUGGCGAAGGCGGCUCACUGGACUGGUAUUGACGCUGAGGUGCGAAAGCGUGGGGAGCAAACAGG
rnacentral:rRNA from 1 species